UUUCAUAUAGAAACAUGGUGAAAACUCAGAUGCAGUCUACUUUAUGUGAAGUUGAUAACUGAGAGUCGUUAGAUAAAAAUUUAGUCAAAUAAUUCAAAUUAUUUAAGGGCUCCCAACUAUCAACUUCACGU